UCCAGAACAACGGGUUCCCGCUGCUGCCCCCUGCCGCCCACAGCGCCCCACGCCCCCGCCGGGCUCCGAGAGGGGCGUCGGGGGCGCCGCUGCUGCUGGGGCCGUGGGAACCGGAGCCGACAUAUACUAGAACUGACCGGUUUCCUGUUAGAAAACUUCAGUUACUUUAGAGAAGCCGGUUUCUCUAGCUUAGUGACCUGCCUUGUACUUUAAAACGAGGACUUGGGGGAAGCAGUCGGUUGAUAAGACGAAGAGCAACACCACGUUGCUCUGCUCUGACUCAAAGGAAAUUAAACAAAAUACUGAUUGUGAGAAUUUUUAAAGGGCUACCAACGGAACUCGGGUUUUUUGAGUGAUAGCUUUUUUCCCCCCGUGUGUACACAAAGAUGCACAUACGAGUUUGUUACAGCAGUACAUUUGCUCGUAAACUUACUUGAGUUUGUGGUUUAAAAAACCUCAUGAACUUUUCAAAAGAGAGGCGUUUGUUUCCGAAUCCAACAGAAAAAACCAAUUCGGAAGAGCUGAAAAAGUUCACUUAGAAUAGCAGUCACAUUUCAACAUUUUCCAUAUUUUGCAAUAUUAAACUGUGAGUCUUUGUGCCAAAUUUUAAGGCAAGAAUUCUUACUGCCAAAUUACAAAUUUCUUAAGAUGAGGGGUGAUCAACCAAAUUGCUGCCAGACCCUAUAAACAGGCACUAACAGCACUGCUAUAAUUACAUCUUAUUAUCUCCCUCGCAGCGUUAUUUGAUUCACUGCUGGAUAAAAUCGUCAUCCCGGGUGUUACUAACUGGCCUUUUUCUGGGGCUGAACACCUUCCAUGCCUCUGUUCCUCCAACAAACAGUAAAACCCAUCACCCUCUAUUCCAUCUCUAGUCCGUCUCUUCCUCAAAUGCAACACAAUCAGGGAGAAAAAGAAGAGAUCAUGCUGGAUGUCAUCUCCUGAUAGAUUCUCAUUCUUCUAGCCUUUACUCUUCCUCUUAAAUAACAAUUCUACCCUGCUCCUCACCGGCCACAGAUUGAGGGGCAUUCAUUCACAAAUGACUCUUGAGCCUCCUUCUGAACGUCUGCUUCCUUAUAAAGCCAAAACCUCAAUACCAACGCUUAAUGAAUCAAGGCUUGUGAAGAUGCAGGCAGAAAACCCAAGUGCCUGAGAGAAAUAAUCUCUUUUCUGUUCUACCUUUAAAUUCUCUUACAACAUGCAGGAAUAAUAAUAGCCGUUCUUCACUAUGUGUGAGCCAGGCCCUGUUUGUUCUAAGCCCUUUAUAUGAAUUAACUUCUCACAACAGGCCUAAGAAGUGGGUACAAUUGUUGCCGCUAUUUUAUAGAUGAGGAAAUUAAGACACAGAGAAUUAAGUAACUGGCCCAAGAUCACCCAGUCUGGAAGCAUCCGAGCUAGGAUUUGAAUCCUGGAUGUUCCUGUUAUGGUUUUCAUCACUCAAGCUGGUUAUAAAUUUAACUGACUAUAGCGUAUAAAGUCACCAUUAAUUGAUCACAUUUUGUAUUCAGGAGGUCCUGUAUGUGACCAAGUCCUGGGCCAUAUUUUUCCCUCUGGAACUCCAGUGAAGUGAAAUUUGUUGAGAUCUGCUUAGGGAAAGCAUUCCCAAAUCAGAUUACCCUCUUGGAAGCCAGCCUCAGACUGUCAGCAUAUGCACUGUAAGUGCUAACCAGGACAGACAAUUCAACCUCACUGGAUAAUAAUGUUUCACAAUAUUCCUACCUCAAAUUAUAAAGAAGCAAGAUGGUUAAAGAUGGUUAAAUUUGGAUUCUCUGAUGUUGGACAAGGUAGAACCCAGGAGGUGAAAUGGGAAGAGAGACAGCAAUGGAAGGAAGCUGAGAGAAAAUAAAUGUAACAUAUGUGCACAUGGAGAGAUCAGUAUUACACUGCAAAGAAUGCCGAUCAAGGUCAUGCAGAAGAGAAGUGUGUGGGUGUGUUAUGACAGAACUAGAAAAGGAGCAUAAACAUGAAAACUGAGUACAUGGCAAGGGGAGGUGGUAGGGAGUAAUGUUGGGUUGUUUCCCCAUAUGGAGCUUCAAAUAAAUUAAGUACAAUUUUAGGCUGGAUUAAUAGAAAUACAUCAUCUGGAACAUCGAAAGAAAGAGCUCCACCUUAUUUUAUGUAAGAUCACAUCUAAGUAACGUGUUCUCUUUUAGAGGGAUAUAAUAAAGAGAACGACCAACCAAGAUGAUGAGGGAACUUGAAACCCUAACUUAAGAAGAGUUGAAGAAUUCAUGAGUGAUCAAAGAGAUGUCUUGAAAUACCUCAUGGGCUAUUGUGUAAAAAGGAAUUAGACUUGCACUGGAAGGCUCCAAGGCUCUAGAACUGAUGAUGGGUAGGAACUUCAGAGACACAUAUUUUUGCUCAGAAUAGGGAAGAAGUCAUGGAAAUAUGAAAUAGGCUGCCUUAGAAUGUAACAAGCUCCAUAUCACUGGAGGCAUUCAAAGUGCACAUUGUCACUGGCCUAUAUAAUGUUUAAGGUGCCUUUCAUCCUUACUCUGCCAGUCACUUAUAAACUAAAGAGUGGGAAAACAAUAUAGCCUACUUCAUUAGGUUCUUGAAGAGCACUUAGCACAGUGAUAGCCAGCACUUUCUAAAAGUCAGAUGCUAAUAACAUUCCUAAAGUCCUGAGGUUUAAUAUUUCUACAUUUGUCAGUGGGCAAUUAUUUCACCUUGUGUUUUUAGAUCACUUUUUGACAUUAUCAAUAUUAUCCUGAGUGGUGGAUUUGGUAUCACUCAGCUUCCUUAGGAUAUCCUUGUGUACUUAAAACUUAUUUAGUAGUGUCCAGGGAGCAGUAUUGUGAUUUCAGUACCAGUAGGAUCUUAAAAUUUGAAUUGUAGCCCCACACUGCAGUUCCGGAGGCCAACAGUGUGGUAAGAUAAUGUGGGUGACAUUAUCCCCCUACAUUAUAGGAAUGGUGGAGAAAAUAAUAAAAUCUGGCAGACUGAGAGAACUCAAGCAACGCAGCUUUGUGUUGACAGUUGAAAAGCAAUAGCAACUGAGGUCAGCCUUAUACUUAACACACAAGAAUCAUACUAGAUGGCUCAUCUUGAGCAAAAAGUGUCAUGAAGCCCAUGAAACCAAGUGAAAAAGCUGGGUACUGGGAGAUGAAGACAAGCCAACCAAUGAGCCGGUUACUUGCUCAAUGGGAAACUAGUUCUGUGAAGACUGCUAUUCCAUGGAGAAUAUGGCUGACCUCAGCAGCAUCUUCAAAUAAGAGAAAGCACACAUGACUUUUAAAAGGGACAAUGAAGUUGUCUUAGCAAUCAAACUUAUUUAAAUUCUUAGUUCCUCCAACCAGAAGGGAAAAUUGAGAGGAGGCAAUAUGGCCCUGCCUCUGCUGAGUGACUACAGCAAGUGGCUUUACCUCUCCAAGCCUCGGUUUUCUCAUCUGUAAAUGGGAAUAAUGACAUGUCAUUGCAUUGACAUGAGAAUUAUUUGAUAUAUUAAAUGUAAAGUAUACUUA